UACGAAGGGGGCUAGCGUUGUUCGGAGUUACUGGGCGUAAAGGGCACGUAGGCGGCGCAUCAAGUCAGGCGUGAAAGCCCUGGGCUCAACCCGGGAAUUGCGCUUGAGACUGGUGUGCUUGAGUACGGGAGAGGAUAGUGGAAUUCCCAGUGUAGAGGUGAAAUUCGUAGAUAUUGGGAAGAACACCGGUGGCGAAGGCGGCUAUCUGGACCGUAACUGACGCUGAGGCGCGAAAGCGUGGGGAGCAAACAGG
rnacentral:rRNA from 1 species